rnacentral:rRNA from 1 species
UGGGGAAUAUUGCACAAUGGGCGCAAGCCUGAUGCAGCCAUGCCGCGUGUAUGAAGAAGGCCUUCGGGUUGUAAAGUACUUUCAGCGGGGAGGAAGGGAGUAAAGUUAAUACCUUUGCUCAUUAACGUUACCCGCAGAAUAAGCACCGGCUAACUCCGUGCCAGCAGCCGCGGUAAUACGGAGGGUGCAAGCGUUAAUCGGAAUUACUGGGCGUAAAGCGCACGCAGGCGGUUUGUUAAGUCAGAUGUGAAAUCCCCGGGCUCAACCUGGGAACUGCAUCUGAUACUGGCAAGCUUGAGUCUCGUAGAGGGGGGUAGAAUUCCAGGUGUAGCAGUGAAAUGCGUAGAGAUCUGGAGGAAUACCGGUGGCGAAGGCGGCCCCCUGGACGAAAACUGACGCUCAGGUGCGAAAGCGUGGGGAGCAAACAGG